AUUGAACGCUGGCGGCAGGCCUAACACAUGCAAGUCGAGCGGAUGAAAGGAGCUUGCUCCUGGAUUCAGCGGCGGACGGGUGAGUAAUGCCUAGGAAUCUGCCUGGUAGUGGGGGACAACGUUUCGAAGGGAACGCUAAUACCGCAUACGUCCUACGGGAGAAAGCAGGGGACCUUCGGGCCUUGCGCUAUCAGAUGAGCCUAGGUCGGAUUAGCUAGUUGGUGAGGUAAUGGCUCACCAAGGCGACGAUCCGUAACUGGUCUGAGAGGAUGAUCAGUCACACUGGAACUGAGACACGGUCCAGACUCCUACGGGAGGCAGCAGUGGGGAAUAUUGGACAAUGGGCGAAAGCCUGAUCCAGCCAUGCCGCGUGUGUGAAGAAGGUCUUCGGAUUGUAAAGCACUUUAAGUUGGGAGGAAGGGUUGUAGAUUAAUACUCUGCAAUUUUGACGUUACCGACAGAAUAAGCACCGGCUAACUCUGUGCCAGCAGCCGCGGUAAGAC
rnacentral:rRNA from 1 species